UACGGAGGGGGCGAGCGUUAUUCGGAAUUAUUGGGCGUGAAGGGCGCGUAGGCGGCCUGAUAAGUCAAAGGUGAAAUCCCUCGGCUCAACUGAGGAAUUGCCUUUGAAACUGUCAGGCUUGAGGCCGGGAGGGGGUGGCGGAAUUCCCAGUGUAGCGGUGAAAUGCGUAGAUAUUGGGAGGAACACCAGUGGCGAAGGCGGCCACCUGGACCGGUUCUGACGCUGAUGCGCGAAAGCGUGGGGAGCAAACAGG
rnacentral:rRNA from 1 species